rnacentral:rRNA from 1 species
GAUGAACGCUGGCGGCGUGCCUAAUACAUGCAAGUCGAGCGAACGGACGAGAAGCUUGCUUCUCUGAUGUUAGCGGCGGACGGGUGAGUAACACGUGGAUAACCUACCUAUACGACUGGGAUAACUUCGGGAAACCGGAGCUAAUAACGGAUAAUAUUUUGAACCGCAUGGUUCAAACGUGAAAGAAGGUCUUGCUGUCACUUAUAGAUGGAUCCGCGCUGCAUUAGCUAGUUGGUAAGGUAACGGCUUACCAAGGCAACGAUGCAUAGCCGACCUGAGCGGGUGAUCGGCUACACUGGAACUGAGACACGGUCCAGACUCCGACGGGAGGAAGCAGUAGGGAAUCUUCCGCAAUGGACGAAGGCGUGACGGAGCAACGCCGCGGGAGUGAUGAAGGACUUCGGAUCGUAAAACUCUGUUAGUAGGGAAGAACAUAUGUGUAAGUAACUGUGCACAUCUUGACGGUACCUAAUCAGAAAGCCACGGCUAACUACGUG